rnacentral:lncRNA from 1 species
UUUGAUAUUUGCUUUUGAAUAUUCUGGAAUUUUACGACCCGGAUUUUCCAUCAUCUGGAGUCGUGAUGGCACCUACUAACGGAGCUAGGCUAGCCAAACUUUAAACAUUCUCUGAUAAUUUCUCAACAAUAUAAAUAUGCGGAAAGAAUUAAAUAAAAGCGGAAGACUUUAAGUUUGUAAAACUGAAAUCAAAAUGCGGAAGUUUAAAACAUAUCUCUAUCCAAGACCGGUGUCACAUUACUCACGGACGUCUAGAGAAUACUAAAUACAAGGUUCGAAUGAAGCCUAGAACUGUCUGCUACGGUACAAUGAUAACAAACUUGAUGAAAUAGAAAGGACUCCGGGCCUGCGGACGUCAACAAAGUUACCUCGAAUGUCCCUGGACUGGAAGCUCGCUCCCGAAAUGCUACUGCUACUCAAAUGCUGCUCCAACACCUAGAUCUGUGCAAAAAGAUGCACAGAGUGUAUCAUAAGCACAACCGACCCCAUGUGCUGGUAAGUGCUGGCCUAACCUCGGCGAAGUAGUGACGAGGACAGAGAGAACCUACCCAAAACAACCUGUGCAGAUAUAUACAUAUACAGAAGCAACGAAAGAACAGAGUGUAGCAUAAGCAUAACCGACCCCAUAUGCUGGUAAGUGCCAGGCCUAACCCCGGCGAGCUAGUAACGAGGCUAGGACUAAACUCCAAAUAAACCUGUGAAGUUCAAAUAUAUAUACAUACAACGGAUAAUAAUACAGGAAGUAACAACCAACAACGGGGAAGGGGAAACAUGUUAAGGGGGAUACCAACAGUUACAAGUAAGAGAAACCACAAUAAUGAUGAAGCAGCCAAGAAUUUACAGCAAUCAAGCAACAAACAUUCCAAACAAAACACACUUGAGACAACAACUGUUGCAGCGUGCAACCCGAUUCUGAAAUAUCAGUGUUGCGGCGUGCAACCCGAUUCAUAUAAUUUAUCUCUGUUGCGGCGAGCAACCCAGCCUCUACCCCACGGCUAUUCUAAGCUGCCACAGCAUGUCACGCCCUAUAACUUCA